CAAAUGUGGAUCUGGAUUCCUACAAUACCAAUUUAGCUAAGUCUCCAGACGAAUCUGCUCCCUUUGACAGUGGGCAAUAUAAAUUCUCAUUCCAGCGGCUUCCACCAGUGUGCUCAGGUCUUUGAGCCCUAGGCAGGGGGGGAGGGGGGAGCCAGGCUGCCCAGUCUUAGGUUCUGCUUCCUCUGACCUCCCUGGCAAGGUCCCUCUGUGUCCCUUAGAGCAGCUCUCUCACUCCCCUGGGCAGAAUCGAGGGAGAGAAGAACCGAAUGUCAGCUCCAACAUUUACUGAAUGUGCAUUUUCUGAAACAUUUUGACAAGCUCUGAGCAGGCCUAGCCCAACCUACAUCUAUCUGCCUCCCCACUGAGGCCAUCUACCCCGAAUGUCUGCAAGUGACCAAAGCCCCCACCUCCAGCUGCCAUAAAUCCAUUUCAACCCCUGAUAUUAAAGAGGAUCUUGUGUGUUAACUGAAAGUUUUAAGAGAUGCUCUUUUCCCCUUUUGAGUGACUUGUAGAAUGUUAGAAAAGACUCUAAUCCUCAGUGAAUAACAUAGGAGGUUAUACAGUGUUAUUAUUGGGACCUGAAUGUUGACAUAGAGCAUACUGUCUGAUUGGAAAAUUUGGGAACUACGAUGUAAAUAUUUUUAACUUUAGGCCUUUGCUUGUCUUUAAGAAUAAGCACUGUGCUUUACUCUCCUGCAUGAGAAGGCCGAGAGAGGAGAAGGGGGCAGAGUCUGCUGAGAAGGCUGGCAUCUCAUUCACUGGGCAGUGAACACCUGCUAUGCUUCAGGAGCUCUUCCAGGAGCCCGGGGGACACAUCAACAAAGGGAAGGUGGCUCUCUGCCCUCGGGCUGGGAAGCAGACAAAGAUGGACAUGUCAUUCAGAAAUGGAGUAAACGGUACGUUCAAAGGGGAGAGAGCGAUGGACAAAAUGGGAAGUGGUGCCCAGUCGGGACACCAAGGAGAGAUGUGAAAUGAACAUAAGUCAAUGGCUAUGGCCAAGACAAUCAAGGAUAAGCCAAGGGAUGUGCCUCUGAAUCAAAACUGAAGUUUGAGACCAGUUGCAAAAUAAAUGAGUCCCAGGGAUGAAAUACACAGUGUGGGGAAUAGAGUCAGUAACUAUGUAACAUCUUUGUAUGGUGACACACAGACUUACUACCAGACUUACCAUGGUGAUCAUUUUGAAA
rnacentral:lncRNA from 1 species